UACAGAGACUGCAAGCGUUAUUCGGAUUCACUGGGCGUAAAGGGUGCGCAGGCGGCCAAGUGUGUUAGGCGUGAAAGCCCGGGGCUUAACCCCGGAAUUGCACCUAAAACUACAUGGCUAGAGCAUUGGAGAGGGUAGCGGAAUUCACGGUGUAGCAGUGAAAUUCGUAGAUAUCGGGAGGAACACCGGUGGCGAAGGCGGCGACCUGGGUGGAUACUGACGCUGAGGCGCGAAAGCGUGGGGAGCAAACAGG
rnacentral:rRNA from 1 species